AGCGAACGCUGGCGGCAGGCUUAACACAUGCAAGUCGAGCGGGCACUUUCGGGUGUCAGCGGCGGACGGGUGAGUAACGCGUGGGAACGUGCCCUCUGGUUCGGAAUAACUCAGGGAAACUUGAGCUAAUACCGGAUACGCCCUUUUGGGGAAAGGCUUGCUGCCGGAGGAUCGGCCCGCGUCUGAUUAGCUAGUUGGUGAGGUAACGGCUCACCAAGGCGACGAUCAGUAGCUGGUCUGAGAGGAUGAUCAGCCACACUGGGACUGAGACACGGCCCAGACUCCUACGGGAGGCAGCAGUGGGGAAUAUUGGACAAUGGGCGCAAGCCUGAUCCAGCCAUGCCGCGGGAGUGAUGAAGGCCUUAGGGUUGUAAAGCUCUUUUAUCCGGGACGAUAAUGACGGUACCGGAGGAAUAAGCCCCGGCUAACUUCGU
rnacentral:rRNA from 1 species